rnacentral:lncRNA from 1 species
GAGGGAAGGGUGUUGUAGUCAGGAGGAAGAGGAUACGAAGGGCUAAGGUAAGGCAGGGAACACCCAGUGGUGAGGGGUAGGGUCUGAGAGGAAAGGAGGGUAGGGCUGGGCUGGGCGAGGACCAGUCGGCAGGUAGGGUAUGGAGAGAUGGGGCAGGGGUUGAAAGUAGGAAAAUUAGGUAUAGGUUAAACUAGGGAGUAAAGGACGGGUAGAGUGUGGGGGUUGGAAACUUUUUGAAACGGAAAGUUUGUAACUUUAAACAUAUAAACAGAAAUGAUUACUUUUAACAUUUGCAACUUUUAACAUUGAGUCGGAAUGUUUGUAACUUUUAACAUUAAAACGACUUCAUACAAGGAGUGUCAUACUGCACAUGCACUGUUCUGGUCAGGUGUCUCUAUACAUCUGCUGAUUGGUUGAGCUACCAGCGUGAUCAGGGAUUUGUAUUGGAGUGGCAGUUUCUGAGCCUCUUCCUGUACUCUUGGUAACAGAGUAAGGAAAGUUAUGGUUGUGAGAAGGUUGCAUGGAGGUGAGUACCGGCUGAUGAAGAUGUUUUUCUCUGUCGUUCUCUCUACUGGACAUCCAAGCUUCUGUCUUGUACAUGUCAUCAGUGCUGUGGUGUCUGAUCGCUCAGCUUAUCUUCCUGUUUCUCAGGUGUCUCAGCGGAGACUGACUGUAAGUCCAGGUACUUUCUCUGUGGUGUAGACUAGAGACAGUUCAGCGGGGACCAUUGCGAUGGGAUAGAAGUGGAGGGUUACAGUUUUGCCUAUGAGAGACAUUUGGGAUAUACAGGACUCUCACUGUUUGUUUCAAUCAAUCAUUCAUUCAGUCAAUCAACAAAUCAAUGUGUACAUCUCGCAGAUGAUAGCGGUACUAGAAUCUGUGUGUUCAGUGCUGUCUGUCGUUUCCCUAUUUUACAGGCUUUUCUACAGACGCCCGACACUUUGGUAGGGGAGUUUCCUGCUUUUAAAGACCCGAGGCGAACACACACACACACACACACACACACACACACACAGAGAGAGACACAGUGCACUACUGAAGCUGCCUCUGCCGCUGCCCGACAUUUCUUUCCUCUCCCCUCAUCCUCUCUCCUCCUCUCCUCCCUCUCUUCCUUUCUUUUUUUCUGAAUGGGUGUCCUCUCUCUAACCUCUCAAUUGAGAGGAGUGUAACCGGACAAUGCCCUUCACAGAGAUAGGCUCCGCCCCUUUCAGCCAGGCUCAUAGACUAUAAGAGCACAGAGACUCGGCUCGGAGUGUGUGUAACAGAGAGUGUGUGUGUCUGUCUGCGUCAGAGGGACGGAGGGAGAAGGAGAGCAGGGGAGCCAGAGAGGGAGAGAAAGAGAGGGAGGUAGGCACAGAAAGAGAGGAGGACAGAGAGAGAGAGAGACUGAGGGAGAAGGAGAGUCUUAGUGCUGUGUAACAUAUGAUAGUAGUUUCUCUCGGCAGGGCCGGGCUGUGAGAGCGUGGUCGGCAGCGGUGUCUCGAGUGUGCUGGGAAAGCACCUUUAUCCCAGAGGGACUCAUACACACAGAGAGAGAGAGAGAGAGAGAGAGAGAGAGAGAGAGAGAGAGAGAGAAAGAGAGUGUGUCGGCUUCAGCACAGCACAGCGCUGUCACUUUAAGCCUGUUACUGAUUACACUCAGUAACAGAAUGCAACUGGAGUAGAAAAAAAUACUGACAGAGAAAGAAGGAAAGAAAGAAAGAAAGAAAGAAAGAAAGAAAGAAAGAAAGAAAGAAAGAAAGAAAGAAAGAAAGAAAGAAAGAAAGAAAGAAAGAAAGAAAGAAAGAAAGAUGUAAGGACAGAUUCUUUUGAAUUUGGUUUAGUUUAGUUUCACAGAAACUGUGAAGUUGUGGAAGGGUGAGAGACAAUUAUCUCUCUCUCUCUCUCUCUCUCUCUCUCUCUCUCUAUUCCUGAGAGUGGCAAACUGGAGGGGAACCCCAGAUUAUCUGCUAGAGAGAGAGCGGGGACAGAGAAAAAGAGGAGGAAGAAGAGGGAAACAGACAGAGAGACAGACAUACCGAGACAGUGAGAGUCAUAGAGAAUGAGAAGGGGACCUUUCAAACCUGGUAAGAGGCUUCCAGACGUCAGGAGGAAAUGCUCCGAGAGGGUAAGUGAAAAAAAUAAAAAUCUCAGCUAACACUGCUGCUUCUGAUGGAUGUCAUAUGGUCCACGUUAAGGCUGAGAAAACGCUCACAGAUCCUCCAUAGUUAGACCAAACUAGAGAGAAACAGAGUUGUUAGAAUCAGGACAGAUUCUUAUUGAAUAGAAAUAUACACUGCAUUUAGAAAAUAGUGACAUCUUUGUGACAGAGAUCCUCUCUUUAACUGUAAGGCCUGUAAGAAUAGGAAGAUGUGUGGCAUUUUUUUGGAUUGAUAUUUGUGUGAGGUACUUUAGCUGAGUGCUAAGUGAUAGAUUGACUGUAAUGUGUUAGUGCUGUGCUGUAUUAAAUGGGGUUUACUACUGACAGUGUUACCUCAUAGUUUGUCUAUACUAGUGCAAUUGCAAAUAGCUAAUUCACUGUUACAUAGCUGUUACAUAGUAAUAGCGUAUAGCUUGGGCAUCGUUGGAAUGAUCCGGAUACAGCUGUAUGAGAGAGCUAUAGCUCUUCUGCAGUCUCCAAAUGUGAGUUCUUUAAAUGAGCUGUAAAUAGUACAUGCGAUAUUGUAUAGGGCAAACUUCAUUUUUUCAUCAUUAGGAUAACAGUCAUAUUAUGUAUCUGUAGUCUAUUUUAUCUAUUCAGUCGUUGACUUGUUCUGUUGGAUUGAUACCAUAUCUCAGAGGGAAUAGUAAUGUUGUAAUAUCAUCUCCUGUCUCUGCGGUCCCCCUCAACCUCUGUCGUGCUGUCUCCCCCAUAAACUUGGGUAAUGGUACAGUCCACUCCUUGUACCCAAUGGCAGAAGGCAUAAAUUAACUCAGAGCACAAAGGAUAGGGGGAUGCGUUGUAGAAGGGGAAGUGAAUGUAUACUAUAUCCUACCACAUGCGGAACUCAGUGCUGUUUCUUUAUGAAUGGGCAGUCUGAGUGCACGAUCUGAUUGGUUGAGAGAAGAGAAUAAUUCCUGAAUGGACAGCAGGGUGCAAUCACCGGUGUUUAGAGUAACCUUCUGCGGUUGCCUUGCUCUCCCCCGGUCACCAGCUGUCCCGAAGGUUGUGUGUGUGUGCGCGUGUUUGCAGUGUUUGCAUAUGUGUGUGGGCGUAUAUGUGUGUGUGUGUGUGUGUGUGUGUGUGUGUGUGUGUGUGUGUGUGUGUGUGUGUGUGUGUGUGUGUGUGUGUGUGUGUGUGUGUGUGUGUGUGUGUGCGUGUCUGCGUAUGUGUGUGUCCAGGUUAGUCUUUUAAGGUUUAAUGUCCAUCAGGCAAUGAUAUGGUUUGAUUUGAUUUUGUAUUUAUUUACUCAAUUGGGUUCAUAACAUACAUUUGUUGUGGGGUGGCACUUCCCUUAGAGUUAGGCAUUACUUCUGGUCCUUCUCUCAGGGGCGUGACAGGUCUUGAAUUGUAGUGGCAUACUAACCUAAUUACUUUAGUGCUGCUCGUACAGAAACAAAUGGAAACAAACGUGAACAAUGGCCAUCCUAAAAUUAGAUCUCAAGGCUACCUGUCAUAGACAUGGGAUCCCUCAGAGGGCACUUUGUGUGUGUGUGUGUGUGUGUGUGUGUGUGUGUGUGUGUGUGUGUGUGUGUGUGUGUGUGUGUGUGUGUGUGUGUGUGUGUGUGCGCGUGGCCCAAGGAAUGUGCUCACAGACAGCCCCUGCAUGCUAGUCCCUCUACACUCCCUCCCACACACUCACACACCCUUUCUCUUUGUUUUACUGCAGUACAAUGAUAUCCAAUCCUAUGGCUCCACCUCAUAUAAGUCUGGUUCCCUCACCCUCCCAGUCCAACUGUCUGGCCAACAGUCACACUCAUGCAAUACUUUCUUUGGUCGUUUACUGAGUGUGUGCGUGCGUGCGUGGGUGCGUGUGGAUAGUAAAACAAGGAAAAUCUGGACAAGUGGGGACAUUAUUUUAAGCUUAGGGGUUAGGUUUAGGGUUAGAGUUUGGGUUCAGUUUAGGGUUAGGAGUUAGGGUUAGGGGUUUGGGGUUAAGGUUAGGGUUAGAUUGAGGGUUACAGUUAGGGAUUAGGGAAAAUAGGAUUUUGAAUGGGAAUGAAUUGUUUGGUCCCCACAAGGAUAGUAAAACAAAUGUGUGUGUGUGUGUGUGUGUGUGUGUGUGUGUGUGUGUGUGUGUGUGUGUGUGUGUGUGUGUGUGUGUGUGUGUGUGUGUGUGUGUGUGUGUGUGUGUGUGUGUGCGUGUGUGCGUGUGUGCAGGUGCUAAAAGUCAGCCAUAAACUUUGUGAAUUGUGUUUCUAUCUGCAUAUCUGUGCUUAUCGUGCCUGCAUUUCUAGACUGUGUGAUAAUCAUGCUGAUGUCGGUGAGAUGCGUCGCCGGUGUCUUGAUGGUUGAGAUAAAAUUCUCAGAGGUAGAUAAUGUUGGAAUCUGCCCUCUAUCUUAAUUCAAUACCUAUGAACUCUAACCUGUCCUUCUUGGCAAAGUCUGGCAGAUGAACAUCUUUCCAUGGCAGAGUAUUUUGGUGGUAAAAGUAGGGUUGAAUAAUGUGAGGUCAUCAGUUCACUGUGCCGUCAGUGUUGGCGGGAUCUUUAAUCACGUCGCUAGCCGAGGUCAGUUUCUAUAACUAGAGCAAUCCUAUUGAACUCCCAUCUAUAGCUUUCCUUUCUGCAUGAGCUGAUUUUGCUUUGUUUAUACAACAAUGGAGUCACUUUCACUGGAAGUCUUAUCAUUCGCAGAGAAAGGAGUUCAGGCAAAGAGCUUAACUUAGACGUCACAAGAGCUGCUCGCUGCGUUUGGUUUGAUGUCACCACACUCAAGUGUGUGUGUGUGUGUGUGUGUGUGUUGUGUGCGCUCGAGGGGUGGAGCCUUUCUGAAGGUGUGUGUGUGUAUUCAGGUACGAUAGGUUCCAACGGUUCUCCACACACCCAUCUGGUACGGUGUGUGUCCCUAUGCCCAUAUAUGGCUGUAGCUUCCCCUACCUGGCGCCUCACCGAGAGUGCAUUGAAUUCUAAUAAGUUGGGGCGCCGGAAAGAGACCCUAGAGUGGAAGCACGUCAUGAAACAGCAGGAUGAACGAGCAAGGCCUGAGAUCUGUGUUUGAAGGAGAUAUUUUUUCCUACUGUAAUCAGCUGGAGCGAUGACUCACAGGGUACAUCAGUUAUUCAGAUGGGAGCCAGUAAUGAGUGUUAUAGUGAAACUCUUUAUCUACUGCUGACUACACUCACAAGAGAUUGGAUACAUAGAAAACAGAAAAACAGGGAUUUUCCUGGCUGAUAUUGCUACUAUGGGAUCUCUCAUCAAUUGCACAUUUUCAACAUAAUUUGCCGGAAACGUAUGGUGAGAUGCCAAUCAGCUAUUCAGGUUAGAAUUCAGUAAGCUUAAAGUUCAAGGGAAGUAGAACGUGUAUCUGACCUUAGAGAGAGUUCACCUUCUAAAAGGUGCCUGAAAGAGUGGCUUUACAUCAUUUAUUAUUUUCAACACGUUUUCCACCCAUUGGAACAAUCCUUACAUUCAUCUAUUGGAACAUCAUUACAGUAGGACAAUACUUACCCGGCAAGGAAGAUACCGUGAUCAAGAAGGUAGGAAGAGGGCGAGGCUCAGCUAUUGCACUCUGGCUGUGCUGACCCCUGCAAAUUCAACAAAUGGAGCAGUGUAAUGCUAUAGGACUGAGCAUAGAACCAGUAACCCUAAAGCAACCAGGGAGAGAGAGACACAUUCAACUCAGCUCCACAGGAUCUAGGGAUCUUGGACCAUCGUCCAUCCAGCUUUCUCUCUCUCUCUCCUCACUUUCUGUCUGUCUGUCUGUCUGUCUGUCUGUCUGUCUGUCUGUCUGUCUGUCUGUCUGUCUGUCUGUCUGUCUGUCUGUCUGUCUGUCUGUCUGUCUGUCUGUCUGUCUGUCUGUCUGUCUGUCUGUCUGUCUGUCUGUCUCUCUCUCUCUCUCUCUCUCUCUCUCUCUCUCUCUCUCUCUCGAUUUGGGACAAGAGAGAGGUUGCCAAUCCUUCAUAAAGGCACUACACCAGGAAGCUUCCCUUUCCUCCUCUCUUUCUAGAUCCUCUCCUCGCCCUGCCAGCCCUUUCCCUUCCGUCCAGCCUUUUGUAAGGUCCCACAGACACCCCUCUCUUGGCUAGGGAUAUGAAUGGGUCUGGGACUGGGGCAUAGGACUGGUACGGGGUUACAGGGAUGGGGCUGAAAUAGCUUCUGGAGCUGGGCCUUUAGUUGUAGGCUCCAGGACCACUGUUUGGCCGAGCAAAACCCAGAUGAACCAUUCAGGGUCCCUUUUCACUUUCAAACUGUUACAUCUGCUCUGCUUUACCCUAAUAAAGCAGAUGCUGUAUUAGAAAGAGAGGAAAUGAGAGGGGGGGGUUGGGUACUGUAUCUAAAACAAUUGGAAUUGGGAACAUUGUGGUAAACGGGAUGGCAGGGACAUUCAACGUUCCAUGACCUUCAUGUCUCCACAGACCAGGAAAUGGCUUCCCUCUCUCUGGUUGGACUGUUCCGCAGAUCCGGCCGAACCAAUCAGACCCUCCAGAUCUGGCCCGGCGGAACGUUGGAGCUGAGUAUCUGAUUGGCCGAUGCUCUGAUGGUCUGAUUGUGCUGAAAGAGGACCAGUUGGUGAGAGUGCUGUAGACUAAGGGUUGGUUAUGGAUAUUGUUCAUCUCUCAUGUGAAUUGAAUUUAGUGGAAAAGCAACCUGUGGCUCUGAACUAUGGAUGAAAAGUGGAGAAAUAGAAAUCAUACUGCCUUGUCUUGGCCUCCAAGCUGAUGAUAAGUAAUAACGAACAUGGCCUGUCCUCCCAACACACACACCCACAAACACACCCAACUUACACAUCCUACACACACCCACACACACAUGCCCACAUACUGUAUACUUCAGUAAACGCCAACACCCACACACAUCCACACAUACAUAAUACCCAACUGCCACCCAAUAAACACACACACACAUACACACACACAGUGAUGGUCGCCCCCUGCUUUGAGGCCAGGCAGGGUAAUGAUUAAGUUCCUCUUGGCUCCUCUUACUGUGUGUCUGUGUGUGUGUGCCUGCCUGCGUGCUUGCGUGCGUGCGUGGAUGUGGUCAGGCCCAGUCAUCUCCCAGGCAGCUAGGAGGAAACCCACAUCAACUGAAACACACUCCAGGAAUAGGCUUACGCUUAUAUAUACACACACACACAGCGCUGGUGUCAACCCUUCUUUAUCUCUCUUCACAAUGUUUUAUAUUGUGUUCUAUAUAAACUCAUGUGACUAUUACAGCUUGUAUUUGGAUGCUUGCUGGCUUGAAGUGUUGUAGAUUUUCUAACCUACUGUAUCUAAAAAUCAAAUGGUAUUUUGCUUUUGUCAGUGGAGUUUGGACUAGUGUACAUCAGUGUGAACAGAAAAGGAUCCACUCCAAUGGCUGUAUGGUGUGUGAUUGUGCUUCCAUUGACCUUGUCCUGCUGAGUAAGACUACAGAUGUAGGAUCUUAAUUUGAUCACUCUUUUGUUGCUGAGAAUUUCCCUGCACAGCAGGAGAUGCAAACUUGUAAUGUGUUUGAGUUUAAAAAAAGCCUUCUAAAGAUUGUCUUUUCCACUUUGACAUUUCAGAUGUGAUUUACCCUAACAAAAAAUGUUUCAAACCCUAUAAAAUGUCCAUGAAUUAUAAUCCACAUAGUAAUUCACAUGUCCUGUUGCUGCAUGGUUAUUGUCCUGCGGUAGCAAACUGGCUCAAGUGAAGAUCCUACAUCUGUAGUGUCCCUCUCAACCGUAAGGCUUUGAGCUUCACUGGAAACAACUGAGCCAUUUACAUACACUUGACCACUUCUGAUAGGCCACAAUGGCAGCAUCACAUGGGUGCACGCCCACACGCCCACACACACAGCAUUAUCAAAGGAUGGAAAGAAGCAGAUAAGAUAGAAGGAUCGAGAGUGGAACAUACCCUAUCACCGUAUCACUGAUCAUGUAAACUAAGUCUAACUGGUUUAGGUCUGUUACCAUUACACACACAAACGCAGUCACACAAUACUCACGCUUUAAUGUUUUCACUGGGUUUGCAGUAUACUCCAGCUUUGCUAAUCUCGGUUAACCCAGAACUAAAUUCUCACGUAGUUGGUAAGCUGCUCGAUUAAGUUCUGGAUCCGUACGUGUUAAGAGAAGAGAGGAAGAGAUACUAGAACGAGGAGCGGAACCGGAACGAGGAGCUCCACCCUCUCUUUUUGACAGUUACAGGCCAAAUGUCCCCUCCCUUUCCGAAACUCGAAAGAUGCUAACAACUGCGAAAUCAUGAUUUGUUCGAAUAACCAAUGAUGAAAAAAAAACAAAAACACUGGAACUAAUGCUGCUCGUUAUCCCACACAUCCCAUUCCUUCCCCACAGAUUCUAACGUACCAGUUAUGUAGAUCUGUCCACGAGAGACUGACACUGUAAGUCUUGAUCAAGUUAUGAUCAGAAGGGAAACAUGAACCCCUGUCGCUGACUUGUUGCAUUGUGUGUGUUAUAGGUGUCCUGAGUGGACCAAGCCGCGGUCACCAGGGUGACCAUGCUCACCACAGCACUGUGCUGUCAGCCGCCCUGCUGACCUUUCAACUACCACCAGACAUCAGCUGUUCUAAUUCUAACAUCUGUCUACAGGUAAGACUGAACUUCAGCCCUCCGAAGUCCUAUUCCUCAGCCAAUCAGCAAGCUCUCUGGGGACUGGGCAUGCUCAGUAGCAGGGUCAGGGUUAAAAUAGUGUUCUCUUCCUGAAUUAAAAAAGAACUGAGCAUAAUUAAAAUGACUCAAAUUGACCCCAGCCCUGCUUUGUAGCUCAGUGGUGCCUCCUGCUUGCUCGCGCAAGUCAUGGAUUGAUUGAUUGGCAACAGUUGUGUUUAGCCCUCCUCUUUCAUUCCCUUCUCUCUCUCUCUCUCUCUCUCUCUCUCUCUCUCUCUCUCUCUCUCGCUCUCGCUCUCGCUCUCUCUCUGUGGAAUGUACCGGGUCCUUCUCAAUUCAUUCAUGUGGAUCCAGGAAGCGCAUUCCUCCCCACAGCCCCAGGCCAUGCUCCACCACCCUACCACACAUACAGUACACAGUCCACUGCCCAGUAGUCACUAUUGGCCAUGCUAAAAAGUACAGAAGUGACAAUAUCAUCCGAAGUUUGGCUCGUCCCAUUGCCUAGUUGAUCUAGUGAUCUCACUGCCACCACCUCCGACUGAUGUGGCACUACUUUCCUCUCUACAGCAGUCAUCACCAAUGUCAGCCCUGCAUCACAUACUCAACCCACUCAACAACUCUCUCUGUCUCUCUCUGUCUCUCAGUCAACACUGCAACUCCUACGUCAGUCUUGACAUGGGACUCAAACUCACUGAACUCAUUGAACUCUCAACAAUAAUGUCAUCACCAGCCAAAACACUCCAAGAGCACACAAUUCUAGAAGGAGAAAGGGCCCUAGUUUUGGGCCACAAAGAUUGCUAGAAUCAAAAAUAGAGAGAGAGAGAGAGAGAGAGAGAGAGAGAGCUAGUUGAGUAGAGUACUAGACUGCUAUGUUUGAUCAAUAUGGUCAUGCGGCUUCAGGUAUGCAGAGGCAAAACUGGACAGAGGACAAGAGGGAGAGCCCAGCAUACAUACCCCUCCAUCCUCCAUGUGUCCAUUCCUCCCCUAGAUUCCCCUCUUUCCUCCCUCUUUUCGCACAGUAUGCAUCCUUCCAUCUCUCCCUCUCCAUGUUCUGAUCUGCCUCUCCAUUUGUUCAUCCAUCUCUCAAUAUCUCUCUCCUCUUUACUCUCCUUCACUCUAUUCCUUCCCAUGUCCUCUCCUCUUCUUUCCUCCCUCCCCCACUUCGAUUAGGUGGUUGAGUUUUCCCUGGAGGGAAUUAUGUAUGAUAUUACGGUAAAUAACUGCCAUGAUAAUCUCAUACAGAUUUGUCCACAUAUGACUUAUUUUGUAUGGUACUCGUGGAGGGUAAGCUGAUCCUAGAUCAGUAUUAAAGUUUGUAUCUAAUGGUUCAGGUUAGGAGUUGGAGAGGGUAAGCUGAUCCUAGAUCAGUAGUAAAGUUUGUAUCUAAUGGUUCAGGUUAGGAGUUGGAGAGGGUAAGCUGAUCCUAGAUCAGUAGUAAAGUUUGUAUCUAAUGGUUCAGGUUAGGAUUUGGAGAGGGUAAGCUGAUCAGUGCCUAGAGCAAAGUGCCUAAAGGAAACUUCUCCCUAAAAGAGAAUGCAAGUGUGGCAUCAGAGUCACUGUGGAGCUGACAUGACAGUGGCUGCUGCCUCCAGUUGCCCCAGGCCUAAUGGGAAAGAAUGUCAGGAAUCUGAAACUGAUAAUGCCAUGCUUAGAGAUAACUAUAGAGAGAUCAUUCCCAUAUCCUUCCCUCCCCUCACCCCAUCUUCUCUGUCUGUUCUGUCUCUCCCUCGUCACCCUUCUCCUCUUCCUUCCCCCCUCCCCUCUCCUCUCACCCCACCCUCUCUCUGUCUCUCACCCCAUUCCCUCUCCUUGUUUCUUCUCCUCCCUCCCCCUUCCUUCUCCUCUCUCUUAAUAGCUGCAGUCAAUGUUGCCUUAUUGAUUCCUUACCCAAUAAUGACCAUCUCUUUCUCCCACUUUCUCUCUUUCUCUCUCUAACCAGAAUGGACCCAAUGAUCAUAUGAGGAUGAAGACCAUGAUGAAGGCAAUGCAAAUUCAUCAACGUGGAUCCUUUAUCUAUAUCUGCAGCCCCCCCCGCCUGUAUUUGUGUGUGGGUCAAUUGCUCAGUAGGCAGUGUAGAUCCUGUGUAAUUAUCAGCAGCUACAUCUGGCUACUGGGUCUCUGAACACACGCCACUGCCCACUUCCUACUUCCGGCCUGGUGGUACAUCCCAUUACCAACUGAUUGGCUAAUUGCACAUUCAAUUUCUCUCUGAUUGUCUAGUAUGUUAUCAUAUGGGCUGUUACAUCUCAUGACAGUACAGGAUGCUCUCUAUGCCUAUGCUUGUCAUUUCCCCCAAAAAUCUGAAUAUUUUUUUCUCUCUCUUCUCCUCUCAAUUAUUUUCUCCCUCUGCACCGUCCUUGGCGAGAACCAUUCAAACUCUUCUUGGUAUUCUUCUCUGAAUUGUGCUGUUUUCUAAAAGAGAGAAAAGAGAAUUGACGAGAGCAGAAAAAAAGCGAGCCAGAGUUGAAGGAAAUGUCAAAUGUGUCAGGCACAAUAGCACAGAGCCUUUAAGAGAGGAGAACAUUGUUUAGGAUGUGAUGCCUGCCGUUUCCAUAGAAAUAUGUCUAUAGAGAACAGGCAAGAUGAAAUGUCACAUUCUCUCUAUGAUCACUCAGUCAGAGACAGUGUGCGCGUGGGUGGGUGUGUGUGUGUGACAGCUGACGAGACAUCUUUGCUUGGUCCUGGACCUAGCAUACAAUGUAGAUUUCUGUGUGGUUUAAACUACAGCUACAUUGUCUGCUGGGUUUCAGGCUGGCAACAAAAGCAGCCUUCAACAGCUAAAUGAUUCAAUAACUCAACGAAUCAAAUCUUCGAUAACUCAACGAAUCAACUCUUCAAGAACUAAACGAUUCUACUCUUCAAGAACUCAACGAAUCAACUCUUCAAGAACUCAAUGAGGUAAGUUCACAUUCAUUCCGCCACUGUGUCAAAUGUUUCACCUUAAAAAUACAAUGAAAUGUCAUAUCUUUUAAUAAACAUCUAGAAAAGUAUAUGGUCGUGCGACUGGUUUUUCAUAUGAAAGUGUGAAGUGUUUUCAGUUUAUUUUUUUAAGUGUUAUUUUAUAGGGAAAUAUCACAUUGGGAAAAAACUAUAUUUGGCUUGACAAUGACAUCACUGGAGUAGGUAAGAGUACAAACAGAGCUGGGACCAGCUGGAGAGAAUCUAGAUGGAGUCUACAGGGGCAAUUUAUUUCUCUAGAAAUGAUUUGUAUUUAGAAUAAAUACCUGUAUAAAAUAACUCAAAGCCAGACAUAUACUGAUACUUAACAUGUCUAGCCACAGUUGUUUAAAUUUCCCGUUAUGGAAAAAACACAUUAAUUUCACAUGUGAACACGUGAUCUCAGGUGAUCAUGUGAUUUAAUGUGAAGCUAAUGACACUAUACGUUACAACAUUUGAGCACGUGAAAGCCCAGGUGUCAAAUUUUAUUUAAAAUAUUUUACUUUAAAAGGCAUAAUUUACAUUAUUACAUUUAAACAGUCAUGGUUCCCUGCAGGUUUUAUAUAGCUCCCGGUUUGUUCCAGGGACGUCCCCAAGGACGCUUUUAGGACGUUCUCUGAACAUUGUGUUAUGGUCCGGUGGAGUUUUUUUUCUAGCUGCUGUAAAAAUACAAAAAGUUCCGUGUUUUUACAGCAGAAUUAAGGUAUUAAUGGACAGUAUACUGCUAUAUACUGAUUACUUGGGACUCAACCUCCCUUGGGAUUUAUACUCUCAACCUCUUGGCUGCUAGCCACCUGAAGUUUCUGCUGCUCCACCAGGUCUGUGGACACAAUGGAGAUUCACAAUAUAUUUAUUGCCAAGAAUAGAUUUCUUGCAGUAAAAAUAAAGUAAAAAUGUACAGCAACUUUAAGGUGUUAUUUUUAUAAAAUGACAUUAUGCUGCUGUAUUCUGAUUUCAGUUACUGUAAAAUUGUCUGUAAUUUUGUACUGUGACCACAAUUGUGACUCAGCUUUAAAGAUGCACAAUGCAGAAAUCGCUCCACAAUUUCCUGGUUGCUAAAAUUCUAAUAGUUCGCCUGAUUUCAGUUUAUGUGACAUAACAAGCAAGUAUAGUGUAGAGAAUCGUUGUACCAUCCAAACGCUGUGAAAUAUAUUUUCCAUAACCCAAAAUAAUGUGUUUGAAGCUGGUGUACAAAACCAAAAGACGCAAGAACAAAAACUAAGAACGGGAAGCAUAGAAAUAGAUCUACCGCUUCUUAGACUUGCUUUCAAUGAAAAUGACAGACCUAUAACACACAUUUCUAUGUGAAUUUGGUCAAGUCGCCCCCAAAAUUAUAUAUUGCAACUGAAAUGGGAUUUGAGCUCAUAAACUCUUGGUCGUUAGCAGCCUGAAAUGUCUUGCUACAGUGCAGCUACACCACCAGAUCUGUGAGCGUGAAAGAGAUACUGUAUGAUCACAGACAUUGGCAAGAAUGCAUUUCUGCACUUUACUGAAAGCUGCACAGAACCAAGUAAAUAAUGUCCAAUUAUCACCACCAACAUAGCAGUCCUCAAGGACACAUAACAUAGAGUAUACAUUUACGCCUUUGGGAUUUGAACUUGCAACUUCUUGGUUGGGGCGCAGUUAAUGUUUCUGCAAUGCCACUAAGUUUAUACUUAUUGCUUGGAACAUACAAUAUAUUAACACACUCUCAAAAAAUAAGGGUAUGGCUAGGGUACACUACAAUGUUGUUUCCUGGGUUACAAAAAGGUCAAAGGUACACUUCACUGGUACAUACACUACAUGACCAAAAGUAUGUGGACACCUGCUAGCCAAACAUCUCAUUCCAAAACCAUGGCCAUUAAAAUGGAGUUGGUCCCCCCUUUGUUGCUAUAACAGCCUCCACUCUUCUGGGAAGGCUUUCCACUAGAUGUUGGAACAUUGCUGCGGGGACUUGCUUUCAUUUAGCCACAAGAGCAUUAGUGAGGUCGGGCACUGAUGUUUGGCGAUUAGGCCUGGAUUGCAGUCGGCGUUCCAAUUCAUCCCAAAGGGGUUCAAUGUCGUUGAGGUCAGAGCUCUAAGCAGGCCAAUCGAGUUCUUCCACACUGAUCUCAACAAACCAUUUCUGUAUGGACCUCGCUUUGUGCACGGGAGCGUUGUCAUGCUGAAACAGGAAAGGGCCUUCCCCAUACACUUGCCACAAAGUUUGAAGCACAGAAUCAUCUAGAAUGUCAAUGUAUGCUGUGGCAUAAAUAUUUCCCUUCACUGGAAUGAAGGGGCCUAGCCCAAACCAUGAAAACCAGCCCCAGAGCAUUAUUCCUCCUCCACCAAACUUUACAGCUGGCAGGUAGCGUUCUCCUGGCAACCGCCAAAUCCAUAUUCAUCCGUCAGACUGCCAGAUGGCAAAGCAUGAUUCAUCAAUCCAGAGAGCACAUUUCCACUGCUCCAGAGUCCAAUGGCAGCAAGCUUUACACCAUUCUAGCGACGCUU